GCCUGGUGCAGUGAGAAUUUCACGCUAUCUUUACCUUAAACAUUAGAGGGAAAGACGAUCUACGCACGAGUUGAAUGAUUGAAAUGUGUAAACAACAUGAAAGGUCGGCUAAAUCGUUUCAAAUAAGUCGCAUGGCUGAUUUUAACAACAUUUUUUGUGACUUUUGCUAGAACAAUAGUAGAUGAAAAAAAAAUAUAACAAAAC
rnacentral:lncRNA from 1 species